rnacentral:lncRNA from 1 species
ACCUGGAAACCAUGUGAAACCAUUCAUUCCAUUCGCUCUGACCAUUAUGAGCCGUCCUCCUCUCAGCAGCCUCCACUGAUGGACAUGUAGAUGGUUGUCUAUUGACGGGGAAAGGAUUCUCAAAAGGCACCUCCUGCUUCUCUAACAGCCGUGUGUUAGUUGGGGUCAGUUUUUUACGGUAAGCCCCUAACUUGAUCCUGGGGCCCCGUUUUGGUUUUUGCCCUAACGCUGCACAGCUGAUUUAAAAAUAUUCAAAGCUUGACGAGUGUUUUUAUUAUCAGCUGUGUAGUGCAAGGGCAAAAAAAACAAACGUGCACGGGCAGGACUGAGUUUGGGUUUGAGUGUGUUCACCCAUGGCUGUCACCAUGGGGAUGGGUUUGAGUGUGUUCACCCAUGACUGAACCAUGGGGAUGGUUUUGGUGUGUUCACCCAUGACUGUCACCAUGGGGAUGGGGUUGAGUGUGUUCACCCAUGACUGUCACCAUGGGGAUGGGUUUGAGUGUGUUCGCCCAUGGCUGUCACCAUGGGGAUGGGUUUGAGUGUGUUCACCCAUGACUGUCACCAUGGGGAUGGUUUUGAGUGUGUUCACCCAUGACUGUCACCAUGGGGAUGGGUUUGAGUGUGUGCCAUCAUGUGGCCUGGUCUGUCCCCCUGGAUGUCCCACUAGUGAUGAAGAAUGGCUAUCCCAAUGACCCAUCAAGUUAUUUAUUGUAGGCUACAAAAAGUUAGAUUUGUGUCAAUAAAGAUUGAAAUCCAUCACCGUGGUUGCUGACUUAAGUUCAUGGGCUGUGUUUACUAAUGCUGCCCAAUUUUUAUCUUUUGCAGAGCUGAUCUCAUUGGUCAAAAACAAAAUCAGAUUUGUACUGUGUGUGUAAAUGCAGCCGUAGUAGCACGUUAUGAAAACCUACCUAAGAUAAACACAAUGACUGGGUGGUACCAGAUUAUUAUUCUGCCGAUUUAUUGAACACAUUUGUAGGCUUCAUAAAUUUAAAAAAACAUUCGCAUAAUUUCCAAUAAGUACAUUAGACCUUUCUUUUUUCCUCUGGUAAGUGAACUUUUGAAAGGCACUCAGAGCCACAACAUUCCACUUCUCCCAAUCAUCUUCAACUAUUUUUUUCACACAGGGAAAACUACCUGGUUUCAAUGUAUUUCCAGAUGGUUGUUUUCAAGUACUCUGGAUAAACUACAAAAAUCGAUUCUUAAUUCUCAACCCCAAUUAAGUAACAAUUAGAUGGGACGGCAGGUCGUCUAGUGGUUAGAGUGUUGGGCCAGUAACCGAAAGGUUGCUGGAUCUAAUCCCCGAGCUGACAAGGUAAAAAUAUGUUGUUCUGCCCCUGAACAAGGCAGUUAACCCACUGUUCCUAGGCCAUCAUUGUAAAUAAGAAUUUGUUCUUAACUGACUUUCCCAGUUUAAAAAAAAAAGUACAUCAAUUAGGUAUUUAAUAUCAAUAAUUUAGAAUACAGCAUAUUUAAUAUACAAAAGUUAGAUUUCAUAUCAUGGUCACAUACAUUGGCACAGUGGGAAGAAAAGCAAAUGAACAAUCUGACAAACAGAAGCGAAGAGCCCAAUUCUCUCCUUCCUCCAAUACGUAGUCGAAAGGAAUAGGAAGAGGACUAGUAUAGAACUAUGGUGGGGGGAAACUCCCCACGAGCCCAUGCCAAAUGCCAAUCUGCGAAGGAGGUGAACAAGGGCACACUUUGGGAGAGAAAGGGAGAUAUUCUGAGACAGCCCCAUAGAGAGAACGUUCACCCA